CCUACGGGGGGCAGCAGUGGGGAAUAUUGGACAAUGGGCGAAAGCCUGAUCCAGCCAUGCCGCGUGUGUGAAGAAGGCCUUCGGGUUGUAAAGCACUUUCAGUGGGGAAGAAAGCCUUGGGGCUAAUACCCUCGAGGAAGGACAUCACCCACAGAAGAAGCACCGGCUAACUCCGUGCCAGCAGCCGCGGUAAUACGGAGGGUGCGAGCGUUAAUCGGAAUUACUGGGCGUAAAGCGCGCGUAGGCGGUCUGAUAAGCCGGUUGUGAAAGCCCCGGGCUCAACCUGGGAACGGCAUCCGGAAUGGCCAGGAUGGAGUGCAGGGAAGGAGGGUAGAAUCCCGGGGGUAGCAGUGAAAUGCGGAGAGAUGGGGAGGAAUACAGGUGGAGAAGGCGGCCCUCUGGACUGACACUGACGCUGAGGUGCGAAAGCGUGGGUAGCAAACAGGAUUAGAUACCCGAGUAGUC
rnacentral:rRNA from 1 species